ACUUGUUUAAAGACAAUUGGCUACUAAAAUUUGAACAACUCAGAGAAGAUUAGUCAGGCUCUUGUACAAGAAUGGUAUGCAAAUUUGUGAAGUAUUCCAUAUUUUU
ensembl:snRNA U6 U6 spliceosomal RNA